UGAGGAAUUUUGCUCAAUGGGCGCAAGCCUGAAGCAGCGACGCCGCGUGAAUGAUGAAGUUCUUCGGAAUGUAAAGUUCUUUUGGCAGGGAAAAUUAUGAUUGUACCUGCAGAAUAAGCACCGGCAAACUAUGUGCCAGCAGCCGCGGUAAUACAUAGGGUGCAAGCGUUGUCCGGAAUUACUGGGCGUAAAGAGCGUGUAGGCGGCACUUUAAGUCGUAACCUUAAAUACAGGGGCUUAACCCCUGUUCGGGUUCGAUACUGAUGUGCUAGAGAUUGGGAGAGGAAAGCGGAACUCACAGUGUAGCGGUGAAAUGCGUAGAUACUGUGAGGAACACCCGUGGCGAAGGCGGCUUUCUGGACCAUUUCUGACGCUGAGACGCGAAAGCGUGGGGAGCAAACAGG
rnacentral:rRNA from 1 species